rnacentral:rRNA from 1 species
UACGUAGGGUGCAAGCGUUGUCCGGAAUUAUUGGGCGUAAAGAGCUCGUAGGCGGUCUGUCGCGUCUGCUGUGAAAACUCAGGGCUUAACCCUGAGCUUGCAGUGGGUACGGGCAGACUAGAGUGCGGUAGGGGAGACUGGAAUUCCGUGGUGUAGCGGUGAAAUGCGCAGAUAUCAGGAGGAACACCGGUGGCGAAGGCGGGGUCUCUGGGCCGUAACUGACGCUGGAGG